AUAUCUGGAAGAAUUAAACACGAACACGUCGGCCAGUAAAAAUAAAUCGUUCGAUAAAAAAAAAAAAUCACUCUAUAUUAUAAUAUCUUUUGAACCGAGAUACAAUACAAUGCAAUACCGCGGCAUGUGUAAUAAUGAUUGUCGUUCAAAUGUUGCACAAUUUUAGAUAUUCGUAAUCGCAAACUAUUUUGACAAUAUAUUAUACGUUAUAGUAUUAUUACGUUGU